GACGAACGCUGGCGGCGUGCUUAACACAUGCAAGUCGAACGGUAAGGCCCUUCGGGGUACACGAGUGGCGAACGGGUGAGUAACACGUGGGUGAUCUGCCCUGCACUUCGGGAUAAGCCUGGGAAACUGGGUCUAAUGCCGGAUAGGACUCCGGACUGCAUGGUCUGGGGUGGAAAGCUUUUGCGGUGUGGGAUGGGCCCGCGGCCUAUCAGCUUGUUGGUGGGGUGAUGACCUACCAAGGCGACGACGGGUAGCCGGCCUGAGAGGGUGACCGGCCACACUGGGACUGAGAUACGGCCCAGACUCCUACGGGAGGCAUAAGUGGGGAAUAUUGCACAAUGGGCGCAAGCCUGAUGCAGCGACGCCGCGUGAGGGAUGACGGCCUUCGGGUUGUAAACCUCUUUCAGCAUCGACGAAGCGAAAGUGACGGUAGGUGCAGAAGAAGGACCGGCCAACUACGUGCCAGCCGCCGCCGUAA
rnacentral:rRNA from 1 species